GACAGAGGCCUCGAGCGUUAGGCGGAAUCACUGGGCUUAAAGCGUGUGUAGGCGGGCCCGUAAGUGUCUUGUGAAAUCCCACGGCUCAACCGUGGAACUGCUGGGCAUACUGCGGGUCUUGGGCCAACUAGGGGCAGCCGGAACAAGCGGUGGAGCGGUGAAAUGCGUAGAUAUCGCUUGGAACGCCGAAGGUGAAAACAGGCUGCUGGGGUUGCGCCGACGCUGAGACACGAAGCCAGGGGAGCAAACGGG
rnacentral:rRNA from 1 species